GUGCUGGCUUUGGCAGCACAUACCCCAAAAGUGGAAUGAUACAGAGAAGAUGAGCCUGGUCCUGCACAAGAAUAAUUUCACAAAUAACCAUUAUGUUA
rnacentral:snRNA from 1 species